rnacentral:rRNA from 1 species
UACAGAGGGUGCGAGCGUUAAUCGGAUUUACUGGGCGUAAAGCGCGCGUAGGUGGCUAAUUAAGUCAAAUGUGAAAUCCCCGAGCUUAACUUGGGAAUUGCAUUCGAUACUGGUUAGCUAGAGUAUGGGAGAGGAUGGUAGAAUUCCAGGUGUAGCGGUGAAAUGCGUAGAGAUCUGGAGGAAUACCGAUGGCGAAGGCAGCCAUCUGGCCUAAUACUGACACUGAGGUGCGAAAGCAUGGGGAGCAAAC